UAUGUGAUCGUCUCUCGCAUAUCAAUAAGCGGAGGAAAAGAAACUAACAAGGAUUCCCCUAGUAACGGCGAGUGAAGCGGGAAGAGCUCAAAUUUGAAAUCUUAAAGGGUUUCCCUUUACGAAUUGUAGUUUAAAGAAGUGUUUUCUGUUGAGGUUUUGGUAAAAGUUCUUUGGAAUAGGACAUCAUAGAGGGUGAGAAUCCCGUAUUUGACCUUUACUUUCAACUUUGUGAUACACUUUCAAAGAGUCGGAUUGUUUGGGAAUGCAGUCCAAAAUGGGUGGUAAAUUUCAUCUAAAGCUAAAUAUUGGCGAGAGACCGAUAGCGAACAAGUACCGUGAGGGAAAGAUGAAAAGAACUUUGAAAAGAGAGUUAAACAGUACGUGAAAUUGUCAAAAGGGAAGCGUUUGACACCAGUGUUGUUUUUCUGAAAAUCAAUUAAAGAACUGUUUAUGCUAAGUUGUUUAGACUUUAUCAGCUAACUGUUUAGUUUUGAGCUUUUCUUUAAUGCACUUUUCAGUUAACAAGUCAACAUCAAUUUCUUUUGCUGUAAAAAAGCUUGAGGAAGGUGGCUUGAGAUUCGUCUUAAGUGUUUAUAGCCUCUUGCCUACUGCAGUCGGAGAGAUUGAGGUCUGCAGCGUAGAUCCCUUCGGGGCUAAAUGCAUUUGUGCUAAGUUAUAGCAUUUUAUAGACAACUUGUUGACUAUGAUUUGUCUUGUAGCUUACUCGCUUAUGUUAUUUUACCUACGCUUAGGAUGUUGACACACGCGCGUGCUCG
rnacentral:rRNA from 1 species